rnacentral:rRNA from 1 species
CCGGCACGGGUGAGUAACACGUAUCCAACCUGCCGUCUACUCUUGGACAGCCUUCUGAAAGGAAGAUUAAUACAAGAUGGCAUCAUGAGUCCGCAUGUUCACAUGAUUAAAGGUAUUCCGGUAGACGAUGGGGAGUGCGUUCCAUUAGAUAGUAGGCGGGGUAACGGCCCACCUAGUCUUCGAUGGAUAGGGGUUCUGAGAGGAAGGUCCCCCACAUUGGAACUGAGACACGGUCCAAACUCCUACGGGAGGCAGCAUG